rnacentral:lncRNA from 1 species
GUUGCCUUGUUAAUAUCCACUGUUUCAUUUCCUCUUUUCAGGUAUAUAUGGUCUGGCUUGCUAGUUGUCCUUGGCAUAUUUCUGAAUGUUUACAGCAAAAAUAUGGAUAAAAUAAGAUUGCCCUCGGUGUACAGUGUGAUAAAGAAAGCCAUGGACAUGAAAAAGUCAAGAACGUUGGCACAGACUGUGUAGGAACUGUGUUCGCCUAUGUAAAAUAAAAGUCUGAGGGAACAAUCAUUAAUCAACUCACUUUCCAAAGGCUUGUGGUAAAACCAAAGGAUCUGAAGGCUGCUGUCGUCUGAGCAGGUCGUACUCUCGGUGGUUCCUCGGCAUCUGCCUCUACAGAACACACACUUUUGAUCAGCUCCAAAACGAUCAAGAGCCCACACCUAGGACAUUUUGCAAUAAAGUCAGUAUGAAGGAAAGUGCUUCCUAGCUGUCCUGAACAUUUCACUGGAAGUGGACCGUGUUGCAAGACUGAUUGGCAAUCCGUCCGGCCUGCAGCACGGUGCCGUGUAGUAGCACUGUUUGUCUCCAUUCCGUUUCGGUGGUGUUAUUUAAAUUCUUCUCUGUUAUAAGAGUAACUGAUGAUUUGAAGUUUAGAGAAAAUAGCAUUCAUUUAUAAAUAAAAUUAUCCUGUGAUUUUUUUU